GAAAUGCGAUAAGUAAUGUGAACUUCAGAAUUCAGUGAAUCAUCGAAUCUUUGAACGCACCUUGCGCUCCUUGGUAUUCCUUGGAGCAUGCCUGUUUGAGUAUCAUGAAAUCUUCAAAGUAAAUCUUUUGUUAACUCAAUUGUUUUCUACUUUGGUAUUGGAGGUCUUUGCAGCUUCACACCUGCUCCUCUUUGUUCAUUAGCUGGAUCUCAGUGUUAUGCUUGGUUCCACUCGGCGUGAUAAGUUAUCUAUCGCUGAGGACACUGUAAAAGGUGGCCAAGGUAAAUGCAGAUGAACCGCUUCUAAUAGUCCAUUGACUUGGACAAUACUUUUAUGAUCUGAUCUCAAAUCAGGUAGGACUACCCGCUGAACUUAAGC
rnacentral:misc_RNA from 1 species